ACACUUGACCUAGCAGAACACCAUCCUUCAUCGCUUGUUUAAAGUUAAUUAAACACUAUAAGAUCAUCCCAUUAUCGAAUAGGUGCAAUUUACAACUAGGACGUAUAGCAAAACUCACAAAUUUAUUUGAUUGUUAAGCUUCUAUUCCUUUAAAAAGUUGGUCUUCGUUAAAACCAAACCCAAUGAUGCAUAUUGUUUAAAGCCAUGUGGAGCCUAACCAGGUUUCAUGACAGUUGGUAGCAGGCCAACUUGGCUGCCUCAACAAUUAUUUUCUCAAGCCCUUGUCAAAACACUCCAAUUGGGCACUUCAUUUAGUAGCUUAGCUUCUAGUUUAUCCACCAAUUGCAAUGACAAACUCAUUCAGCACAGACAAUCUUGAACUGAGCAAAGUCUGCAUCAAGUAGAGUAAGAGUAACCAUCAAAAAGAGCAAAACUUCUCUUAUCAAGUUUCAAAACAAAUACAGCCAUUUUGCAAAAUUCCAGGAGUUCCAAACAAAUAUGCCAUUAGAAUUUGUGUUUGUCACUCUUUUUAGGUACAACAACAGUCAUUACAACAUUCUGGGAGGGGAAGAAUGGGCGGCAUUCCUAGUAAGAUUCAUAUGUAAUGUCUUCAUAUUGCAUUCUUCGUAAAACCUGAGGGCAAAAAUGAGAACGAAUUAUUUUCUGGGGUCUCAUAGCAUGCAAAUGCAUUCCAAAAGGGAGAGAAUGAGAAGGGACAACGGAAGGACUACCUCAACUAUUGCUUCACUUGCAGUGAAUUUUCUAUGCGUUGAAUGAACUUAUCUUUAGAGAAAGCACCCUCCUGAAAAUUAUCACGCCAAAGCAGCAACCUCAGUAAAAACUCGAACUCAGAAAGCGAACUCAGAAAGUGGAUGCAAGUAGAUGGAUAUUGAAAAAUGAAAAACAAGACUAAAAGAAAAAAAAAAAUCCAGCAUGGUGAUAAAUAUUGUUAAGAGGAAGUGAAUUACUCUCCUCUGGCAGAUACAGAUUAUAGGCCUUGCAGCAAACAAUUUAUAUAUGAUUUCUUCUCCUUUUUCCUAUUGAUAUUUUAGUUAAUUGUUCUAACAUAAAGAAUGCCAUUGACAGGAAAAUUAGCAAGCAGAUACACAUAGGAAAACAGUCUUUGGUGAUGGAGAGGAGCUUUGUGCAUUUCAAGAACAUCAUUCUGGAAAGGUAAAGCUAUUUUUUCACAAAAGCUUACAGAUAAUAAACUUACGAAGCGAUCAUAAGGUUUCCCAUCCUUAAAUAUGAUAAAAGUAGGCAAUGCUUCUAUUCUGUAUUUGUCAGCAAUGCUAGGGUACUUCUCAGUAUCGAUUUUCACCACCUGGAUUGUGUCAUUCAGGAUGGCACUGACCUCUUUAAGAAUUGGACUCAUAAGCUGGCAUGGACCGCACCUGCAAACAGCUUGGUCUAAUCACUCUUACUCUUUAGUUGAAAUUUCUAAUCUAUUCCAAAAUUUUCAAAAUGUGUCAUCUUAAGACUCAGCAUUAUAAUAUUCUUUUGCACAAAAUGUAAAUCUCAAUUCCACAACACAUUUGGGGGGAAAAAUCUCCUAAGCCUAGCAAAUUAACUCUAAUUAUUUGAUUCCCUUCCUUCACUUGGGGAAGGUGGAAGAUUUAAUUCUGCACAUUAUCAGAUUGGGGCCUUAGAUAAUUUGAAGAUGAUUAGACACAAUCUCCAUUUCACAAUCUCUCUCAGAAAAUGUACUAAAAUACAUAAAAAAGUAAUGAAGAGAACGGUACCAGGCUGCAUAGAAGUCAACCAAGACUGGUUUGUCAGCAUUUGCCAAUAACUCAUCCAAGUUGGAAAAUGUUUGCUUCUUUGCUGCAAGCUGCAGCAAUCAUUUGCCAAAAGAAAUACUAUCACUUCAAUUUCAGAAAGGCAGUUUAGAGUCAAUAUAUAGCUGCAAACAAAACUAGUAGAUAAAGUAACUCUCAAGACCCAUCCGAUAGAGUAAGAUUGAGCACUCUCUUUAUUGCAUUUACAAUUAAUGUACUAAAAACAAUAGAGGAAAAAAAAAAUGCUAUCUCCUGACAAACAAAAGAUGGAUAUUAAUUUCAUGCCCGUUGGACACGGAAGUGGUAUGCCACUUAACUAAGUAUAAGGUAUGUAUAAGGUGGGCUUGGAAUGUCAAUUUGAAUCACGGUACGUGAAUUAUAUUUUUUGCUGCACAAUUCUUUUUUUAAAAUUUUAUUUAGAAUAAUAUAUUUAUUAAAAAAAUAUAUUGAUUUAAUAUGAGUAAUUAAUUAAUAUGAUAAAUUUUUUGACAUAAUAAUCACAUUAUUCAAAUUUUGAAAUACAUACUAUUUUUCUUAUUAUUAAUUAUUUUUAAUGUUAAAAUUACAAUAUUGAAGAAUAUAAUUAGUAAUAUAUUCUCCUCCUCCUCCUCCUCUAUUCCCUUUUCUAGUUCUACCACUGUAUCUUGGAAACCCUGUUUUAGCAAAUCGGAAGACAAAGCAUAACGUUCCAAAAUGCUGAAGUACCGCAUUUGGGUAGAGUUCCAGGAUGGGGUAUACAGGGGCUGAGUAAACUAGGUAACUAUGGUCUAUCUGCUCCUAUUAAAUUACUUUGUCUGGCAUAAGAAAAGGGACACAUCUAACUUGAAAUAUGCAACUCAGUUUAUUUCUGAUGGAUCAUUUGUAAUGGUAGAAAGAAUGACGGUUUUUGCUGCUCAUGUACAAGCAUAAAGGACAACAAUAGCUGUUACUAUUACCACAUGAUGUUAAUUGAUAGAGAAUCUUGAACAUAGCAGAAGCAUCUAAACUACCCAGAAUAAUACAAACUGCUACAGAUGGCAAAGGCAGAAAGAGUCCCAGCUGUGAAAUAAGUUCCUUCCAAAAUAGACCUCCUAUAAGUGUGAUCUUUUAAAGGGUUUUUUGAAUAAGUUACUUCAGCUCCACGAUUUAUUUUCUUUGAAUCAUAAAUCAAGUAGUACCAAUUUAGCUCACUAAUUGAGGAGUGAAUAUUGAGACAUGUAGAUCAUUAAGCACCCAUGAUUCAUGGAGUACUUGAUUUUUUUUUAAGAAAAAAGGAAAAAAGAAAUGCCCUUCAACAAUUAUGCACUACUGCUGAAAUAUCCUCCAGAACAUAUAUAAACCCAUUUCAGAACCACAUUUGAAUAGGGAGUGAAUAUCAACCUUUCCGGAAGUACAGCUGUAAAGAAGAACAAAUGAAGUACCAUUGAAAUUAACCAUUAUAAAAGCACCCAAAAGAUUCUAAAUUUUAUUAUGGGCUUAGAAAUUAUUUUAGUGAAAUGAAGCAUCACUCCAAGGUUCUGCCUGGUUUAUGAUGAAAUUGAAUGUUAAUUCCAUUCAUUCAUUCUCAUGUUUGGUACGGUACUUUUGGAAAACAAAUAAUAUGAUUAUACAGAGAAUAACAUGACCCAAAAUGACCUGAAUCUCAAUCUCAUUGACUUUUUUUUUUAAUACUAUUAGAUUGCGUCACCACCCACUUCUAUAGCAAACUAAUUUUUUUUUCUUUUUCUAAUUCCUUCUUGUCUUUCUUUUAUGUGCUAUAAAAUCUGAGAUGUUCCAGGAGGUAUGGCUACGUUUUCGAUGUGAAGAAAUGAUAUUGCUAACAGAUAUGAUGACUCUAUAUUCACCUAUUCCCUCUACUCCAUAUUAUUAUGUAAAACAAGAUGUGAGGCCAUAGGCUUAAAACCUAUUCCCUGACGUGUCAAUGACAAUACACAUAUUUCCUCAUAGCAAAAACUAAAGAUAGUUAAUGGAUUAUGCAUGUAUAAUAUUCGUUACAAUUGGUCUAAAAUGAUAUAUAAAUUUACCAUCUUUCUCUCUUUUUUAAGUAUUUUAUAUUUGACAGCUCCCUGCAUAUUACAUACUUAGUAAAUAGAAUCAAACCGUGAAGUUCCAGUUUUCCCGGGAACCAAGUUCCUCCUUAUUCCCCUUUAAAAUUCAUUUCCCUUUAGCUGACUGACCAAAUCAAAGGCAUCUAACACCAAGCAAUAAAGACCCUUGCGACUCAUUGACAACAGCUAAAAUCUUAAGCAAAAAUUUCAAAGUUGCAGAAAAUCAAGAACAAUCUCCAUGGAAAAUGCAAAUAUCCCAUCAAAUUGACCUAAACCCAAUUACCUAUCUCAUACAUAAAGAUUGAACAAGACAGGCAAUUUUACUCUACAUAUUUAAGCUCAUCCGAAAAGGAAAAGAAAAAGAAAACGGAAUAUAAAGUGGGGAAUAGAGGGUAAGAGUAUUUACCAGAGGCAAAAUUCGAGACCUAGAAGGAGAGGAAAUCCCUCUGAUCCCAAACUGAAGCCUCUGAAGUUGCACUGGAAACUUCAGUGAAGACAAAGAAGUCAAAUUGGUAGCACUCCACUGUGACUGCGGUGUCUUCAAAGAAGGAAUC
rnacentral:misc_RNA from 1 species